rnacentral:lncRNA from 1 species
CACGAGCACAAUUCGAAUAAAUUAAUAUAGGUCAUCAAAUUUGAUAUGAUAAUUAAAUGGAUUGGAUUCGAAUCGACACGAUUUUUUUUUUCUUAUCAGACUAAGGUUAAAUAUCUUGAAAUCAAUUUGUAUAUUCUCAUCAUCGAAACUUAAAUAUUGGACAUUAUUUUAUUUUUUCUUUUAAUUUGGGAUGGAUGAACAUAUAUAUAGUAUUUCAUUUAUAAAAUUCUAUAUAGAUUUAGAACUUUUAUAGUAUAAAUGUGUACUAUUUUAUAUAUUACGUAUAUGUAUUGAGGUGCAAAUUUUUUAUGUAAAUCUUGUUAAAUAUAUAGAUGUUAAACAGGUUAUUGGGUAAACCCUUUUUUUUUCGUAUUAGCUUAGGGUCUUAAUAUUUUGAGACAACUAUUAUAUGGGUCGUAUUUGGGUCAGUUUAAAUUUGACGUGACACGAACACGACCAUUAACCCGUUUUGCUAGUUUUAGUGGUAUAUGCAAAGAAUUUCAACCAAAUUCAUAUUUAUUCAAAUUUUAGAUAAUAAAAAACAAACGCUACCAAAGUAUCACUAUAGAUAAGUUAGUAAAUCACUAAAAAUUAUAAAUAAACCAUUGUAGAAUUUAACAAUAUCACAUAUUGAGUGAUAUUUAGAAAUUUAAUACUUAAAACAAAAAGCUUAAAUUGUGAUAUUACAUAACUUAAUCCCUCCUAUAUCAAAUUCAUGGUACCGCCACACCACUAGGCAUAUGAACUGCAUUCCAGUUGCUUUGUUUAUAUAAUGAUGAAUUUAUGGGCGAAGUAAAUACAAUAGGAAACAAUCUCAUCAUCCCCACCUUAUUCUUAUUUUUCAUCCAUUUUCUGGUACAGUAAGUGUUAUAUUAAUGCAUCUUGGCAGAGGAAGAGGAAGGUACAAACCUCAACAAUGGCAGCCUUAAAGGCAGCAAGAAAUUAAUUUUUAAUAAUCCUGAUUUAACAUGUCAAUUUUGCUUUUAAAGGACACCAUUAAACAUGGCCAAAGGGCCAGGUUGGCCAUCAAAGGAAGGCUCAUGGUGGUUCAUGCCCAUGUGCCGUAUCUUCCAUGUGCUUUGAGUCGUGUUGUGCCAUGCCUAAGUUUUUUUUUUGUUUUUCUUAAGCCCUUGCACAACAUGUGCAUGUUGUGCCCAAGCAUACCUUACCAUGUCGUGCUUAAGAAAAAAAUACAAUAUUUUUUUUAAAUAUUUUUAAGAGAGCAUACUAAGUUGGUAAUAUACUUUUUUCAAGCUCAUAUAUUUUUUUUGGGUCCAUAUGUCUUUAGUCAAAUUUAAUAGAAUCAAAAGUUCGAAACUCAGGUCUAUAUUCAAUAAUAAUAAACUAAUGAUAGUAAGAGAAAAUAAUACUAACUAUUAAAUUAGACCAUAUAGUAUUAAAAUUCUUUUUGAAUACUUAACUAUAACAACAACAACAAUAAUAAAUUUUUCUUAAGGGUUAACUUAAUUGUUAACUUGGACUUACAUAAAAUCAUAGAUCAUAGUUCAUAAUAACAUUAAUACAUACAUGUUAUAAAAAUCACGAUAUCAUCUAUUCAUUUAAUAAAAUACAAAUGUAACACAAUUAGAGUAUUUUUUUUAAACUAAGAAUUAAAUGAAUUUAAAAGACUUAUACUAAUAAAAUAUAUUAAAAGGUUCAAUUUCAAGUUAUUUGUAAAAUCAUAAAAUUAAGUUUACUUUCAUUAAAAAUGAAACAUGCUUAUUGUAGGUCUUUUCACAUGUCGUGCUUUAGCUCAUUUCUAAUUAUGCCAUACUUUUAAGGUCUAUGUGCUUGAAAUUCUCCAUCUAGCUUAGCCUACCUGCGUGCCUACUGCGUGCUCUACCAAAACAUGUUUGUGUCGUAUCAUACUGUACGGACAUGUGUCGUGCUUGUGCCGUGCCAUGAGCCGCCAAGCCCGCUAGCCAUCUUUAGACACCAAAUUUAUUCACAUAAUUAUGAUGAGGAUUCUUGCCUGCUAGCCAUCUUUAGACGCCAAAUUUAUUCACAUAAUUAUGAUGAGGAUUCUUGGUCCUAAGAAUUCCAAAUAGAAGACAAGUGGCAUUAUACGUUGGAAAAUCAAGAGGAUUAAAGUAAUUGGUAUUUGGAUAGUGGGACAACUAGCCACAUCACCAAUAUGACACACUAUGCAACCCACAACAAGUACAAAUGCUACUCUAUUGUCAAUUUGGUUUUAGAUUAACCAUAUUAUUUGCAUCUGUAUGUGAAUUUUAGCAAGCCAACUGAUUACGUGAUAUGCUUGUCUACAAUUACGUAUUCUUCAUAAUCAAGAAGGCUAAUGUCACUACCUAAAAAUCAACAUUGGGCACAAAGGCUACUCCAACCCAUUAGGAAUGUAUUUCAAAUUUCAUGGUGGACCCAAACCACUAUGCUAGAGUAAUCAUUGUAGAUUGUAGUUUAAAAGACACAGAUGAAGUGAGACUUAAUUCGCAUUAAAUCCUCGCUCAAGCCUAAACAAGAACAUUAAUAUAUAAGAAAAUCCUUGUGGAAUGAGCAAAUGAGAACCAACAAUUAUAGAAAGCCUAUAAAGACCUGAUAUUGUCUAGUGUUACAUUGGGUGGCAAGAUCAGUAUCUUUAAUCUAGUGGACAAAUCAGUAUUUGAAUUUGGUGGCUAAAUCUAGCAUAAAUCAAUAAAACCUUCAAGAAGACAUGUAAAAUCCUAAUUUUGACCCAGCUCUUUUCCUUCCCCCACAAGGUAGAUACUUCGUGGCUAAAAAACCUUAUUUAGAAUACAAAUCCCAAAUUUCUAACUCAAUUAGAAAAAUUACUCGAUUCUAUCCUUAAAAUAUGAAAGAAUCCUUAAACCUUACUUUGUGCCACUAGGAUUCAUGCUACCUCAUAGGAGUGAGAUUCUGAAACUUUGUCAGUUAGGUUUACCACUGAAACUUAUAAAUACAGCACUCCAUACAGUAUCUAGGAUAGAAUAACCUACCCUUAAGCACUUUCCAGAAACCUAAUUUAGCAGCCUAAACACCCUAUAAGUAAUAACCUCUGCAAUUGUCUUCUCUCUUUAAUCAAGGAUUGCUCUUCGUCUUGACCAAAGAACCCUAGUUUAGAUUUCUUCAAUCUUAAAAAUAAACUAGUCGUCCUUGUCAUUCCAUCGCCAUUAAAACAUCUUUCUUGUUUUAGAGCAAUCCUUUGUUCUCAGUCAAACGCCUUUAAAACAUCAAACCUUGACCUUAAAUCCAAGGAAGUGUUAAGAUAAUAUUCUUGAAUUCACCACCCCAAUCCUUUUGCUCUUGCAAACCAGUGUUACAAGCACCCUAAACACAAUUCUAUCACACUUUAUGGGUUUCAAUUAUCUCCAAAUUCCAUAUUUAAGCCUUAAGCUUUGUUUGAUAUAACUUUUUAAAUAAAGCUUAUUUAAGUAGAACUUUUAUUAGUAAAAU